UGUAGUACGCGCUUAUCAUUCAACCUAUUCCACAUGAAAGUUACAGAGAGGUAAAACCAAAAUUAAAAAUAUGUAUGAUUUAUGAACGCAACUCCAACGCUGAACGGUUCCCGCGCCGUCAUCUGUCACGCUCACGUCAUUGUGUUUAUUCAUGUCAACCUAAACCAUUAGAGCUUGAUAAAAUAUAACAUUUUUAUCAGAAAAUAAUAGUAAAUACAUAAUUAAUAUGUGAAAAAAUUAAAUAUUAGUGUACGACAGUCCGACCAAUUACAAAAUUGGAAGAAAAUACAAGAAGAUUGAAGAAGGAAAUGCUACUUUCGCGAUCAAGGUCAAAGGCGGCGUCGUUUCGUGGAUAGCAUCAUAUAGCAUGGAUAGCCAUCCAUGCCCGGAUAUCAAAAUAAGAAUCUAGCAGGCAAUGGACGUACCUACUUUUUAUUUUAGGUCUGCAUUAUCAUCUCCAUCUCCGCCAGCGGCGUAGAGAAAAAAGCGAUUUUUCGCGUGGCGUAUAAAAAGCAAUCUAUGCCCUCCUCGCUCGCCAGCGACCGAAUGUUUAAUACAUAUCUAAAAUUUCGAAAGGGAAAGAAAAAGCAAGCAAAGAAUUAAGCGAGUAAAUCUUGACAUUGUGGGACGGAGGCACCAGAAAUUUGGAUAUGGAAAAAUCCUAAUAGGACAACCUCGUUGUUUGUUUUCAGAUGUAUAAUUAAAAACAUUACAAAACCAGUAUGACCCAAACAAGAUUAUGCAAAAAUAAUCUGCGCUGUAAAAUUUUAUUGGUGCUCUGAAGAUGAACCCAGCAACUUAAACUGCCGCUGGUGAGAUUCUUGUCAGUAAGGAACAAGGCUAAGUAUUGAAAUGAAACAAAAUAAAGUUUCCUGGUUGCUAACUGUGAUGAUUUAGCUCUCAAUCAAUUUUGUGCUGCAACCGGCUAUGACAACCUGGUGUCGCUUUUAAGUGACUGACUUUCUUUUGAGUGAUGAUCAUCACUGAGAAUCUUUGCUAAGGCAGCAGUCCUUUAAAUACUAAAGCACAAUAAAUGGCAUUAGAGAUUUUUUAAAACAUGCUGUCAACAAGUGAUAUAAGAAUAUCUAGCAGAAAAACUAAUGGCUUACGGCCCGGUACUUCAACUUGAAGGCCUCAAUUAUCAAUCAUAUUUUUCAAUGUAUGUUUUUGCUGCUACUUGUAUUUGUUUCAUAUAAUUAAGUAUUAAUUUAACAUUACAACAGACAAAAACCCUGGUCAAAAAGCAGCACCUUCUUCUCUGCAGUCAUAAUGUGGUCGCACUCAAGUGACAUUACAACAGCCUGUGUCCAUUUAGAACAAAUUCUCAUAAGCUGUGGUUUAUUUAAAUACACUUCUUUAAUUGCAGUGACAUCAUAUUUACAAGGAUUUCGUCAUACAAAAUUCAAUUUUUUGUCUGUGCCAAUACCUACAGGUAUCCCGAAAUAUGAUCACUUCUGUGAAAUUGAUAGUCAAAUACUAGAAAACUAGGUGACUGUGAUAUAUAAUGUGUGAAUAUGCCUAUGAUGUUCUUAUAUAAUAAUGUAGGUAAACUUUUUACAGUUUAAUAUUGACUUAAAUAUUUUCUGUACCAAAUCCUAAGAGAAAUAAAUACAGGUACCUAUAAGACAUAUAGGUAUAUUUAAGACAAGUAAAUUUAUUGCAACUAAGCAAUUUAAGUCAACAGGGAAUUGGAACUGUUAUGAAACUAAUGAAGUAAUGACAUAAGUCCAUUUAUUAGACUAGGUGUCUAUAUGUGUCAGACCUUCCAUGAAGUGUCUAAGAUCUGGAGGUCACACAAUGAGCAUUCGUUUAGAUUAUAUAUCAAUUGUUGAAGCUCAUUUUUAAAUGUUUUUAUACGAUGUAGGUGCAUACCUAUACAAGAUUAAUUAGUCUUGAUACCAUUACCUAUAUGGAGCUAUAAUCAAAUGAAACUAGCUCCUUAGUACUUACCUUAGAGAGCUGGGUAAUACUAGAAUUGUUUCUUUAGCCGAUAGGAAAAAAUACAAACUUAAAUAAAACAAAACAAGUCCUUUAUAUACUUAUUGGUCUCAUUGUCAUUAUUUUUAAUGAACUUUGCUCAUAUAAAUGGGUUGUUUGUACCGAUACCUACAAGUUUGGCUAAUGAAUAUGGUUAUGUGUGUAUUUAAAGAGCUGAAAAGAUAAAAGUACUUACUUACCUAUACUGAAUUUCGUAUAUUUUAAAGAAAUACAAUUCCAAUAUAUCACCUAGUGUGACAUAAUUUGGUGGCUAAUUAAAAUAAAGGGUUAUAAAUAUAUAUUUUUUGCAGAAUGUUAAUCACUUUCAGUAAUACUUACACCCGUGUGGAAAUUAUGAAACGAGCCUAAUAGAAUGCAUUACAUUAAUUUUGUUCAGCCUAUGGUGGUCUUGUUUAUGUUUGAAGACCCUCAUUUCCGGUUUACCAGACUGAGAUACAUCUGAGAGAAGACAACACAGCUAUCGCAAUUACAUUUCAUACAUAGUUUAUUUACAAACUGGUGAAAUGAAAUACAGUAUUUUUAUGUCUAGGAACAUUAGGCAGUGGUGUGAAAAGAAACAUUACAAUAUUUUACUUAAAUGAUAUAUGUGCUGUGUCAUAAGCUGAUUGAAUGAAAAUAGUGUAAGAUUUCAGAUUUAACCCAAAUUAAAUUUGAAAUUUCUUACAACAUUUUAGAAAUCUAUAUAGUACCUACCGAGUUAUUGGUUAUUAUACAAAUAUCCUGGUGAAGUAACCCAGAUGUUUUUUCUACAUAAGUAGAUGCUUUUGCAAAAAAUAUUUUAUCUAUGUUUUCCUUCCAAUUGAAACGAAAUCUAAGGUCUUAAAGUUUUAGGAAAAGUAGAAAGCAUCAAGGCACGGUCAUUGGAAUUGCCCAGUUUACAAAAUAUUUAUACGCAUAUGUACAUAUAAUUGUAUAGAUUUGCGCCCCAGCUCUCAUUUAUAAAAACAUAUUUUAUUAACUGGUUUCAAGUUUCAACAGCGUAUUAUCCUGGUUACCCCAGUGUUAUCCAGGAAGUGCCAUCAGCCAUCACUGAAGGAGAAGAGGAAGGGGAGAAAGGAGUACAGUGCGGUGUAAUCCCUUGCGCCCAACACCGUCAAGCACACACACAUACACACACUUGAAAUACUAGUGUAUGUUAUGUAAAAAUAA